ACAUUAAUCUCGUUGCAUACCACUCAGAAUCUCGCUUGAUGAUUUUGAAGAGAAGGUGAAUGGGCUGAAUCCUAAUUCAUAUUUGAUAUGAUCCUAAUAUGAUUGUAAUGACUACCUGGUUUUGUUACAAUAUACGAAAGACCCAUUAGAUAAGUAUAUAGUAGAUGUAGAAAACAUAAUAAGAUUGAAUUUUUGGAGGUUUGAUUCGAAACCAAAUGAGCCAUUUAAUAUGUUGGACAUAUGUGUCCAAUGAUUUGAUUAGUUCAGCUAGAGUAUUACAUGGAUUGGACAGUGAGUUUGUUCCACUUUCUCCGAUGUAUUUGUGGCGCAGUGUUCGUCGAGAAUUAACUACAUUAAAUGACUGCAAAGCUAAGAAUGAAAAGUUGUUGGAAGAUAAGAAUGCAAAACUAUGGAAGCUAUGAAUGGUGUACAUUGUUGCUUUGGACAAAACAUAGUUAACGGAUUGAUGUAUGCAAAACUACAUGGGGGUACCAGCAUUCUACUCGAGAUGCGGAAUUGUAUAAAAUUACUAUUGACUUUACAAUAACCUAUGAGGCAAAGGUGGUAAUUUGCAAAAAUGGUAACAAAUUGAAAUUUGGUAAUGGUGGAUACAUUGAUGUCAAUCUUGAAAUAAAGCUAACUCUAGUUGGUCAAAAAAAUAAACGUAAGGCAAAAUUGUGUUGUUAUAGAAUAUUUCUUAAUCGGUAAUCAAAACUUGUGAGGUUGUAAUAUUUUGCAGGAGAUGAGAGGAAAAAAAUGGCUAAUUAGAUUUUGAUUAUCUUUUGGAUUCUUAGUACUCAAAACUUUUUCCUUAGUAAU
rnacentral:sRNA from 1 species